rnacentral:tRNA from 1 species
GGGGGUGUAGCUCAACUGGUUAGAGCGCUGCCCUGUCACGGCAGAGGCUGCGGGUUCGAGCCCCGUCACUCCCGCCA